rnacentral:rRNA from 1 species
UGGGGGAUAUUGCACAAUGGAGGAAACUCUGAUGCAGCAACGCCGCGUGAGGGAAGAAGGUUUUCGGAUUGUAAACCUCUGUUUUUAGUGACGAAACAAAUGACGGUAGCUAAAGAGGAAGCCACGGCUAACUACGUGCCAGCAGCCGCGGUAAUACGUAGGUGGCAAGCGUUGUCCGGAAUUACUGGGUGUAAAGGGUGCGCAGGCGGGACUGUAAGUUGGAUGUGAAAUGCCGAGGCUUAACCACGGCACUGCAUCCAAAACUGCGGUUCUUGAGUGAAGUAGAGGUAGGCGGAAUUCCGAGUGUAGCGGUGAAAUGCGUAGAUAUUCGGAGGAACACCAGUGGCGAAGGCGGCCUACUGGGCUUUAACUGACGCUGAGGCACGAAAGCAUGGGGAGCAAACAGG